rnacentral:rRNA from 1 species
UACGUAGGGACCAAGCGUUGUUCGGAUUUACUGGGCGUAAAGGGCGCGUAGGCGGCUUGACAAGUCACUUGUGAAAUCUCCGGGCUUAACUCGGAACGGCCAAGUGAAACUGUCAUGCUAGAGUGCAGAAGGGGCAAUCGGAAUUCUUGGUGUAGCGGUGAAAUGCGUAGAUAUCAAGAGGAACACCUGCGGCGAAGGCGGGUUGCUGGGCUGACACUGACGCUGAGGCGCGAAAGCUAGGGGAGCGAACGGG